rnacentral:rRNA from 1 species
UACAGAGGGUGCGAGCGUUGUCCGGAAUCACUGGGCGUAAAGGGCGCGUAGGUGGCCUGAUAAGUAGGGGGUGAAAUCUCGAGGCUCAACUUCGAGGCUGCCUCCUAAACUGUCAGGCUUGAGCAGAGUAGAGGCAGGUGGAAUUCCCGGUGUAGCGGUGGAAUGCGUAGAGAUCGGGAAGAACAUCGGUGGCGAAGGCGGCCUGCUGGGCAGUGGCUGACGCUGAAGCGCGACAGCGUGGGGAGCAAACAGG